GACGAACGCUGGCGGCGUGCCUAAUACAUGCAAGUAGAACGCUGAAGGAGGAGCUUGCUCUUCUGGAUGAGUUGCGAACGGGUGAGUAACGCGUAGGUAACCUGCCUGGUAGCGGGGGAUAACUAUUGGAAACGAUAGCUAAUACCGCAUAAGAGUAGAUGUUGCAUGACAUUUACUUAAAAGGUGCAAUUGCAUCACUACCAGAUGGACCUGCGUUGUAUUAGCUAGUUGGUGGGGUAACGGCUUACCAAGGCGACGAUACAUAGCCGACCUGAGAGGGUGAUCGGCCACACUGGGACUGAGACACGGCCCAGACUCCUACGGGAGGCAGCAGUAGGGAAUCUUCGGCAAUGGGCGGAAGUCUGACCGAGCAACGCCGCGUGAGUGAAGAAGGUUUUCGGAUCGUAAAGCUCUGUUGUAAGGGAAGAACGAGUGUGAGAGUGGAAAGUUCACACUGUGACGGUAACUUACCAGAAAGGGACGGCUAACUACGUG
rnacentral:rRNA from 1 species